rnacentral:sRNA from 1 species
UCAUAAAACACAUGCUUACGCAAAAUCG